rnacentral:lncRNA from 1 species
GGCUCAAGCAGUUCUCAUGCCUCAGCCUCGCAAGUAGCUGGGACUAUAGGUGUAACACUCACCACGAAGGUCUGCAGCUUCACUCCUGAAGCCAGCGAGACCACGAACCCACCGGGAGGAACGAACAACUCCAGAUGCGCCGCCUUAAGAGCUGUAACACUCACCGCGAAGGUCCGUGGCCUCACUCCUGAGCCCCCAAGACCACGAACCCACCAGAAGGAAGAAACUCCAAACACAUCCGAACAUCAGAAGGAACAAACUCUGGACACGCUGACUUUAAGAACUGUAACACUCACCGCGAAGGUCUGCGGCUUCAUUCUUGAAGUCAGUGAGACCAAGAACCCACCAAUUCCGGACACAAUGCCAUUCUCCUGCCUCAGCCUCCCGAGUAGCUGGGACUACAGGUGGCCGCCACCACGCCUGGCUAAUUUUUUGUAUUUUUAGUAGAGACAGGGUUUCACUGUGUUAGCCAGGAUGAUCUCCAUCUCCUGACCUCGUGAUCCGCCCGCCUUGGCCUCCCAAAGUGCUAGGAUUACAGACGUGAGCCACUGCGCCCAGCCCAGCUUAGCUUUUUAACAGCUUAGUUCUUUCAUCUUUGUUUGAAUACAAAGGCCAAGGAAAAUAGUCUACAUGUUAUUUUCAGGAAAAUUUUCUGUAUAAAUUAUUGUUAUUGAAGCAUUAAUUUUCUAUUUCAUGAUCAGGUUACAUGCCUUGGAAAGGAUGUAGUAUAUGAUGAAAUUGCCCAAAUCAUUUGAAUGAUAAUAAAAGUUUAAAAAAAAAAAAGAAAAAAAUUAAAGGUGGCUGUGUGUAACAAGAUGUUGAAAGGUUUUCCUGGUUGUGUUGGAGUUUGAGCUGAGUCUUAAGGACAGAAGUGUACACAGGUACCCCCACAUUGUAGAAAAAUACUUUUCCAGCCACGCAAAAGACAGCACAAUUCCUCCAGCUCCCAUGGCCCCCACUGCCACCUGCAGCCUCUAUGAGAUGACACAUUUGACACAGGAAAGAGAGCACGCUCAUGGAGAUAGAUCUGUUGUUGAUUGCUGAUCUCUCUGGAGUCCUUUGGUAUUCCCUGUUUCUUGUUCUUUAGGGGCGAGGGGAGGACGCAGACCAAGGUAGGACAGUACCAAGAGACUGGGAGUGCCU